GUGGGGAAUAUUGGACAAUGGAGGCAACUCUGAUCCAGCAAUUCUGUGUGUGUGAAGAAGGUUUUAGGACUGUAAAACACUUUUAGUAGGGAAGAAAGAAAUGACGGUACCUACAGAAGAAGCGACGGCUAAAUACGUGCCAGCAGCCGCGGUAAUACGUAUGUCGCGAGCGUUAUCCGGAAUUAUUGGGCUUAAAGGGCAUCUAGGCGGUUAAACAAGUUGAAGGUGAAAACCUGUGGCUCAACCAUAGGCUUGCCUACAAAACUGUAUAACUAGAGUACUGGAAAGGUGGGUGGAACUACACGAGUAGAGGUGAAAUUCGUAGAUAUGUGUAGGAAUGCCGAUGAUGAAGAUAACUCACUGGACAGCAACUGACGCUGAAGUGCGAAAGCUAGGGGAGCAAACAGGAUUAGAAACCCUAGUAGUCC
rnacentral:rRNA from 1 species